UCCAGCGUAGCUCAGUUGGUAGAGCGGGCGACUGUUAAUCGCUUGGUCGUAGGUUCGAGUCCUACCGCUGGAGCCA
rnacentral:tRNA from 1 species